rnacentral:rRNA from 1 species
CCCUCCCUCUUUCUUCAGGCCUAACACAUGCAAGUCGAGCGAGAUCUUCGGGUCUAGCGGCGGACGGGUGAGUAACGCGUGGGAAUAUGCCUCUUGGUACGGAAUAGCCUCGGGAAACUGGGAGUAAUACCGUAUGUGCCCUUUGGGGGAAAGAUUUAUCGCCAAGGGAUUAGCCCGCGUUGGAUUAGGUAGUUGGUGGGGUAAUGGCCUACCAAGCCGACGAUCCAUAGCUGGUUUGAGAGGAUGAUCAGCCACACUGGGACUGAGACACGGCCCAGACUCCUACGGGAGGCAGCAGUGGGGAAUCUUAGACAAUGGGGGCAACGCUGAUCUAGCCAUGCCGCGUGAGUGAUGAAGUCCUUAGGGUUGUAAAGCUCUUUAAGCUGGGAAGAUAAUGACGGUACCAGCAGAAGAAGCCCCGGCUAACUCCGUG